GUCGCAUAUGUACCUGUCGUGAAUGCCAGCACCAUCAAUGCCAUGGCGAAAACAAUAAACACAGAUGCCCAAGAGUAUAACAAAAGGAACAGCCUCUUGUUUCCUUGCAUUGCCAUGAAAAAGUGGAUAAGUACAGAUGUUGUAGAGAGCACAAGCGCGAGAGAAUCUGAUAUAAGAAAGGCUUUGAAGGCUGCUCUUCUUGUUAAUACUGCAAUCCCUUGGUCGGUACCCUUCUCACUGUUGUAACCACCAGGCAGUGUGAAACCUGCCGCGAAAGUUACGGUUGCCAUGAGUGUGGCCACAAUCAGAUGGGCAUCUUUGG
rnacentral:misc_RNA from 1 species